CUGUUAAUUCUAGUAGCUUUCUGACAGAAUUGGUCAGAAUUUGAUUCUGAGAUUUAAAGAUAUGCCAUGUUGAACCACAGAAAGAGAGAGAGCAAAACUAUGUGUAAUUGAAUUAUGGAUUACAGUUCGGAAAAAUAGGAAUGGAAAAUCUGAGAGAGAGAGAGAGAAGGUUACGAGGAGACACUUUAGGGAGAUUCACAUUUGGCUCACCUCUUGGGAAUAGCACAGUUGAUUAUAUGAUAACAGACACAGAUCCUUCACAGUGUUCUAUGAUAAAAUACAGCUCCAUCCGACAUUUAAAACUCUUUCAAACCAGGAGAAACUGCCGUAUCUGUUAGGAGAACACAAGAACUGCCGUGUGUUUGCUGCUCAAUAUGUGUCUGCCUGCAUGUCACCACAGAAGAGAAAACACUUAAUCUGCCCUAAUCUGAUGUUUCCAGCACAUGUAAUUCAUUUUGCACUACAUGCUUAAUACUUUUGAUAUAUUAUUAUUACUAUUAUUAUUAUUUUUCUUUCUUUCUUUCUGUUAAUACAUAUACGCACUAUUUGUAAGCAGCCCAGCUGCAAUUGUUUUGGCAAGACAAAUGUAUAGUUUUUGUCAUGCCAAUAAAGCACAAUUGAAUUGAAUUGAAUUGAGAGAGCGAGAGAAUUCUAUGAGAGCAGCAGCAAGAAAAUGAGCUCCUGAUUGUUUUAUCUUUAAUGUUGUUUUAAGAUUAGACAGACAUUCAGUUUUGAUGAAUUGAAGAGUAGUUCAGACUUCCUACAACCUAUAUUACUUGAAAGAAGAUUGUAAAUUAACCAAGAAACGCAGGAAGAGGACAGGUAGCUGAGAGUGGCCUAAAAGGUCAUACAACUGCCUCAAAAGAAAAGAAAGAGAAGAAAGAAAACUCUGAGUACAGUGAGUACAGAUAUACUGAGGUCUGCAGUCAACUAUCUUUAUUUUGGGGAAAGAUUUGAACCAAAAAACAGUUUUUUUGUUUCUAACUAUAGUGGAUAUCUGCAUAUUCAAAAAACAACAACAACAAACUGCCAGCAAUUGUCAGAAUAUUUGAACAAUGACAGAAUCAAUCCCCAUAACUUACCCAUACAAAGCUACAAAUGAGAUUUUAAAGAAAAAACAUAAAGAAAAGCUCCUCAAGGACAGACCAGAAGCACUGUACUCAGAUUUAUAUAAGAACGGAGAGGUCAGCAACAUCAUAUUUUAUACAGAAGACCCAGAAGCCUGGCACUCAGCGAUUAGACAGCAUUACCCCACAGUAAUCAGAAAGGGCAUCAGUAACGGAUGGAAACUGCGGGUCAAAGAAGAGGACGAUUCAGAAUCAGAUGUCAUGAUAACAGCGAACCCAUACAAAAAUGGAACUGUUAUGAUUCAGGGCAACCUGAAAACAUUUGAAAAGGACUUCCUCCAAAUUAAAGGAAAAACGCAGCUGAACGAGACUGGCCCUAAUACACUAAAACAGGCAAAAAAACACCUCCAUCUCCACUCAUCAAGCUACAAAUGAGCAAUCCAGGGAUGACAGUGAGGAGAUCUCCUUUCUACACAGCAUCAUCAGCGACAUAAAAUAAGUUCAGAGAGAUGGAGCUGGAACUGGUGCAGCUGAGAGAAGAAGUGCAUGGAGCAGUGCAGCAGACUGAUCCAACAGAGAAAGAAGAGGAUUACAGGAAAGAAAUAGCAAUGCUAAAGGAAGAAAUUCAGGAACUGAAAAAUCAGAAAGAGGAGAACAACAAACAACUGUCUGUAAUGAGAGAAGAAUUGAGAGAGCUAAGAGAAGACAGAAGAAAAACAAGUGAAAGUGGAAAACAACUACCAGCUCUGAAGGAGCAACUGACACAGACAGCAAAGUUUAGAGCAGACUCCUCCAACAACCACAGCCAUCAACCCCGGCAGCGCUCCUCCACCUGACAUGUACACAUGUACAUAUUUACUUAAUUAUUUUACAGAUCUAUUCUUGUUCUAUGUAUUAUAUAAUUGUUUGUUCCUUAUUCAUGUAAUGGACAAUGCUUUAGCAAUACUGUGCAAGUCAAUAAAGCUAAUUUGAAUUGAAUUUGAAUUGAAUUGAGAGAGAGAGAGAGAGAGAGAAAGCUUCUUAAAACAGCUGCUGGAGUAUGUGAUCUGGAAACAGAAAAAAAAUAUUGAAUUACUUCACAAAAACAUUAAAGGUGUGGCAAGCAUUGUGGUUACUGUGCUUUACAAAUUGUAUACAGUAGUUACUGUGGUAAAAGCAUGGUAAGUGUUGUGUUACUGUGCCUUAAAUACACUGGUAAAAUCAUGAAAAGGUGUUGUGGUUACCAUACCUACAAAUACCACAGUAAAACUACAGUUGAUGAGGGAUAUGGUAUAUGUUGUAGUUAUUGUGUAUUGACUACACAUGACAUGAUCGAGCAACAGUUACUAUGGUAAAAAUAUGGACUUUUUACAUGAUCACAAUUAUCACGCAAUACCGGGUUGGUUGAUUUGUUGUGCUGUCAUCAGCUAUGUCUAAAAGCUGAAGACCCAUGUCACAAUAUGAUUAAAAAUGGUUUUAUUUAUUUAUUUCAAAAGGUAACAGGUCUAUAACAUACAGUAGAAGUUAGCUUAGGCUAAUGUCAAUGGCUACCAGCCGUGCUAACUAAGCAGCCCCACUGUUCAUUUGAACGCAUACGCUGCCAUUUUAACACAUUACCUCAUCUAACGUGAUGCAGAAACACUGAAAUAAUAAAAAAUAAUACCGUUAAACCCGUGAUAUCGUUACAUAAAAAGAUUGUUGACGCUGCUUCUAUGCAUUACAGGCUCGUGACUCGUCAUGUAGCGUUCAGUCGCGCCACACCGCUACUUUCUGGAAAAAGUAGUUAGCUACUGGAAAAGCUACAUUGUUUUAAAAGUACCUGAGCUACCGUCAAGCUACUGAAAACUGUGGUUACGUUAGUAGCGUCGCUACUUGUAACUAGUUACUUCCCAACACUGGAAAUUAAUAACAGGUGCACUAGAUGGGAAACAAUGAGACGACUCCCAAAACAGGAAUGGUUUUACAGGUGGAGGCCACUGACAUUGUUUUCCCUACUCAUCUUUUCUGACUGUUUUUCACUAGUUUUGCAUUUGGCUAGGGUCGCUACUGGUAGCAUGAGGCAAUACCUGGACCCUACAGAGGUUGCACAGGCAGUCCAACUCCUCCAGGAUGGCACAUCAAUACGUGCCAUUGCCAGAAGGUUUGCUGUGUCUCCCAGAGUCUCAAGAGCAUGGAGGAGAUUUCAGGAGACAGGCAGUUACUCUAGGAGAUCUGGACAGGGCCGUAGAAGGUCCUUAAACCAUCAGCAGAACCGUUAUCUGCUCCUUUGUGCAAGGAGGAACAGGAUGAGCACUACCAGAGCCCUACAAAAUGACCUCCAGCAGGCCACUGGUGUGAAUGCCUCUGACCAAACAAUCAGAAACAGACUUCAUGAGGGUAGCCUGAGGGCCUGACGUCCGGGUGCCGCGACAACUGGCUAGGGGUGCUGCGGAAUCUCUCUUUUUUUCCAGUUUAAACAGCCUAAAAUAACUACCGUACCAUAUAAUAACCUUUUACAGCACUGUAAUGAAUUGCUGUAAAAAUUUUUAAUAAAAGUUUUUUUAAUAAUACAGCAUAUUGCUGUAAACCGCAAUGCAUUCUGGGGUCGCGUGGCGGUUUGACUCAAAUUUACAGAAUAUUGCUGUCAAUUUCAAAUCUUCAGCGCCAUCUUGGGAUCUUCAACGGUCGAGAUUCUGGGAGCGGCAAGAAGAGUGAUUCACAACUGUGAGAGCAAGAUUUCAAGUUCUUUGGACAUGACAUGGUGAUGGGGCAGCUGAUAAAGGAUCUCAAAGACCUUGAGAUUCUGUGAAAUUGAUCGACCAACAUUUGUGGCAGACCCACUGGCCAAGGGGCCAAGCAGGACUGUGCAGUCAUAUAUAGCUCCGACAGAUGGUUGAGUUCAUUUGUGCCCCUGCCAUUUCUUCAGGACAGAUCGCCUACUUAAAGAAUGAUGUCUACAACUUUGGGAGAGGAAAUACAAAGGUCAUUUCAAAGCGCUGCCUGGUCUUCUUGAAGAAAAGAAGGAACAGUUGCUGCAGAGACUUCUUAGCUGGGGUGUGGAGAGCACAGAUGAUCUUAAGUAUGUAGAGGGAGCUCCUGGAGUGGACCUGUCUGAUUUACUCCCGCCCAUCCAGAUUCGCAAACUGCUAGACAGCUUUAUGAGAGCUGGAGAACAAAAUCAAUCUGGUGAUGUCCCUCCAACAAUGCCUUCUUCCACUGUCACAUUAGACACCAUUAGCCCACCAAGCCUUUCUUCAACCACAGCAGUUACUUGGCCUGAGUCAUUUCAGGUUCCUUGGAACCAAAUGCCGAGCGAAUUGCGCAGUGCAGUAGCGAAUGGAAAGAGACCACUCCCCCCAGAUCGCCGCAAAAUGAUUCGUAUAAUUGUUGAUGAAAUUAGGAAACAUGAAAAGAAUCCAAGCAAAGCACAGUGCCUUGCUGUUGCUCUCAAAAUUGUCAAAAAGUAUCCAAAGAGCUUUUCUGAUUUUGAUGAUACUCAAGAAAAAAAUGAAAUUGGGUACUACUCCCUCUUGAAACAAAUAAAAACCCGCGUAGAACACGUCAAUAGAGAUAAUAUUUUAUCACGCAGGCGACGGAUCAGUGGAGUAACUUGACACACCUGAGAGAAUGCAAUGCAGAGAACCAACAGCCACAUACGGAUGCACACAAUGGCAGCCUGAGCCUCCGCUUGCAAAUUCUGAUGAUGUACUUGAGGAAAAAAGACAAACUUUAGAGAAUUUGUACCAGCGAUAUGGAAAAAAGUGGAGCUGACAGGAGUGAUGUUUGUGCCUUAAUGAAGGAAACUUAUUAUUUGCAAAGAAAGCACAUCAAUGACACACAAGUACUUCCUAUCAAAGACCUCAAAAGCAAAUGGCCAUACCUGUUUGUGCAAAAGCACAUAUAUGCACAUUUUGAGGAGCUUACCAGUAUCGCCAUACACAAAAGGCUCAACCAAGCCAUACAGGAGUAUGGUAAAGUCCUCGUUGACUUCUUUAAGAGCAAACCCACAAAUGAAGUUGUCAAGAAAAUCUUGUCCAGCGAAGAAGAAGUUGGACCCCUUGUGAUCAAACUCAUCCUGGCACAUUUCCGAGAGGAUCUGGAUGGUCUUCUGCUUCUUGCGAAUAGGUGCGCCACAGCAGCUGACCUUCAAGCGACACACACCAUACCUGGGAGCCCACAACUAAUUGUGCUUGGAGACACUUUGACGAGUGGACACUGGAUGCUGACUAUUGAAGGCGAGGUUGUGUGUGAGGGCAUUCAGCCCAGCUUCCUGUCUGGCCUUGCCACUCUGUUCGCAUCGUACUAUAUAUUCAAUCUUGAGUACCAGGAGGAGGCAGCAUGUACCUUGGAGUUCAUUCAAAGACGCUUUGUAGGUAUUAAUCCGGAGAGAGGAACAAAGAAGUCGAAAGGAAAAGUGCCAUCUAAAACGACCGGGCAAAUGGUACAGAAGAAACAGGUUGCAGUGAACCCACAUGUUGCCACUCUUCUUUGCAAAGUGAUGGAUUUUCAGUGGAAUUUCUGAAAUCCACUCUUUGCAUCCUGUGGUGUUCUCCUUUUUUGGAUCAGAAGUUUGUUGGACUUGGGGCCUUGUUGUUUGUGGUGCCAUGGUCUGUUCAUGAAGUGAUGAAGAGUCAUCGGAAUCUUUGUGGUUUUUAUAAUUAUUUUUAUUAUGACCAUGUUGGUCAACUUGUGGUUAUAAAGUAACAGUUUGCAUAUUUCUUCUUUUUGUUGAGGGUAUAUGAUUGCUAAUUAUAUGUUUCAAGUAAUUUAAAAACAUUUGAAGGGUUAGUUGAAAAUACUGUCAUUACUCACCCUCAUGUCGUUCCACAUCCGUAAGACCUUCGUUCAUCUACA